rnacentral:tRNA from 3 species
CGUUAGCUCAGUUGGUAGAGCAGUUGACUUUUAAUCAAUUGGUCGCAGGUUCGAAUCCUGCACGCCCCACCA